CCAACAAAUGGGCUUUGGAGGACGUGCAGCUCAAAUCGCUUUUUUUUUUUUUUUUUUCAUUUAUUUUUCUUUUCGACAAAACUCAGUUGAGGUGGGUGGGAAAUCUUGUGCUAUGUUUUCUCGUGCUCACACAAAGCAAAAAGGGGAAUUCCGAACACGAGGAAAGAUUUGAGCAGAUCAACAAGAACUGAAGAGGAUUGCUAGCAGGUGGACUAUACUGCUUUGAGAGUUUGAAGAUUAGUCCGGGAAUGAACGUCUGAUAUUACAAACAGUAAUUUGGUGUUGUCCUCAUGGAAAUCUACAAAAGAAUCUCAUCUGGAAAUCUCAUCAGAUGGAGUAUUUUUUAUUUUCUGCCUGUGUUUGUAACAGCAAGUGAAGGUGAGUACUAAAAUGAACAAUUAUUUGUAGAGCAUACUUCUUUUUUUUUACAUAACAUCUCU